AAGACUAUACUUUCAGGGAUCAUUUCUACAGUUUGUUACUAGAGAAGUUUCUCUGAACGUGUAGAGCACCGAGAACCUACAAAAUACCAUGAAAUGAGAAGUGAUGAUAAAGAGUGGU
ensembl:snoRNA U3 Small nucleolar RNA U3